rnacentral:rRNA from 1 species
UACGUAGGUGGCGAGCGUUGUCCGGAUUUACUGGGCGUAAAGAGCGCGCAGGCGGUCGAUCAAGUCGGAUGUGAAAGCCCCCGGCUCAACUGGGGAGGGUCAUUCGAUACUGGUCGACUCGAAGGCAGGAGAGGGAAGCGGAAUUCCCGGUGUAGUGGUGAAAUGCGUAGAUAUCAGGAGGAACACCGGUGGCGAAGGCGGGUCUCUGGGCAACAACUGACGCUGAGGAGCGAAAGCGUGGGGAGCGAACAGG